rnacentral:rRNA from 1 species
GACGAACGCUGGCGGCAUGCCUAACACAUGCAAGUCUAGGGGUAGCAAUACCACUGGCGCACGGGUGAGUAACACGUAGGUUAUCUGCCCCCAUCACAGACAUAACCCCGGGAAACCGGGGCUAAUAUCUGAUGAGGUCGCGAGAUCAAAGCUUCGGCGGAUGGGGAUGAGCCUGCGGCUGAUUAGCUAGUUGGUGAGGUAACGGCUCACCAAGGCGACGAUCAGUAGCUGGUCUGAGAGGACGAACAGCCACACUGGAACUGAGACACGGUCCAGACUCCUACGGGAGGCAGCAGUGAGGAAUAUUGGUCAAUGGGAGCAAUCCUGAACCAGCAAUGCCGCGUGUGGGAUGACAGGGCUUCGCCUUGUAAACCACUGUCGGACGGGACGAAAGGAGGCCACGGGCCUCUGGGACGGUACCGUCAAAGGAAGGGUCGGCUAACUACGUGCCAGCAGCCGCGGUAAUACGUAGGACCCGAGCGUUGUCCGGAUUUACUGGGUAUAAAGGGUGCGUAGGCGGCCUUGUGCGUCAGAGGUGAAAUAUCCGGGCUUAACCCGGAGGGUGCCUUUGAUACGGCAGGGCUUGAGUGCGAGAGAGGAUGAUGGAAUUCCUGGUGUAGCGGUGAAAUGCGUAGAUAUCAGGAGGAACACC